UUGUAAGGAUACAUGUUUUUUUGUUUUUAGGUUAAUGUGCCUUUUGCAUCAUGAUAUGUAGAAAAUUUUAGAUUAAUUCUUAAAACCGAAAAUUCUUGAUUUUUAUAUUUAAGUUGUUAAGCACUAGGUAACGCGGGUAGCUUAUAAAAUUUAUAUAAUGUUGUGAUAAAUUAGUCGUAAGAAUUAAUAUCUGUUUUUAGACUAUUAUUUGUUAAAUUACUGUUUACAGCGAUGAUGUUGUAUACAAAAAUAUAUUUAAUCUAUGUUUUUUUAUAAAAGAGUUAAAAUUACUCGUUUAUAAUAAGUGUUUUACAACUUAGUAAAAAAUAUUUAUAAAUUAUUAUUUUUAGUCUAGUUAUACUAAUUUAAUUAGUUAUUUAUUACUUAAUAAGUAAUAUUAUUAAUCUUAUUAUUUCUCAUUGUUAGCCCGUCUGUUUAUUAAAAACAUUUCCAUAUGUGAUUUAUAUAUGGUAGGACCUGCUCUAUGUUUAUAUAAAUGGCCGCAGUAUAUUGACUGUGCGAAGGUAGCAUAAUUAAUUGCCCCUUAAUUAGGGGCUUGUUUGAAUGGUUUGACGAGGUUAUAUAUAAUAUUAAGAUUUUUUUUUGAAAUUAAUUGUAGGGGCACAGAAUCCCUUAAAUUUAAUUAGACGGAAAGACCCCGGGAUCUUCUUAUUUUGCCUGGGGCAGGUACACCUUUUUCAAGUAUAUUAAGACCCGUUUUUGGCGUUUAGAGAUUUAAGUUACCCCGGGGAUAACAGUGUAAUUACUUAUAAGAGAUCUUAUCGAAUAAGUUGUUUGCUACCUCGAUGUUGACUUAGGUUUAUGCAGAGGCGCAGUUGUCUUUGUUUAUGGUCUGUUCGACCUUUAUUACCUCCAUGAGUUGAGUUAAGACCGGCGUGAGCCAGGUCGGUUCUUAUCUAUUGUUCUAAUCUAUUAGUACGAAAGGAUUGUAGAUUUUUUUAUU
rnacentral:rRNA from 1 species